ensembl:lncRNA
GGUUGAAUCAGAGCUGUAGCCGCUGGCCUACGCCACAGCAAUGCCAGAUCCAGAUCUGCAUCCUAUACCACAGCUCACGGCAAUGCUGGAUCCUUAACCCCUGAGCGAGGCCAGGGAUCGAACCCACAACCUCAUGGUUCCUAGUUGGAUUCCUUUCCACUGUGCCAUGAUGGAAAUGCCUAGAACAUAACUGUUGAUGACAAACUAACUGAAGUCCAUUCCCAACACCUGAAGACUGGCCAGCAAGCAGCCCUUGCUCUCAUGGGGGUAGGAGACUGUGAGCGCAGAGAUGACCAUGCUCUGACCACGAGGGGGCAGUGUUGGACCGCGGAUGGCAGAGAACUCAGCACGAGAUAGAUUCCCUGGUGACUCACUCCAGCAAUGCGGUAUCUGCAUGAUUUGUUUUUGGGUGGAGUGGAAAAGGAGAGAAUGGGUCGGAAAAAAUGAAAGCAUCCCUUCAAUUUGCAAACUGCCACAGUCAUGAGUUCAACCAAUGUUCAACCGCCUCAAGUAUUUUUAGUGCAAAGAAAUGAGGUGAUGAGAGUUUCAGAAAACAAGCACUGUUGAAAACCCCAAAUGAUAAUUGACGAAACACUAUGCAUUAGCAAAAGUUUACUCUUUCUCUUGCAAAAACAAACUGACAUUCCCCCCACCCAGGAACAGGAAAGCUUUCAGAAGUUAAAAGAAAUAUACAGUUGACUAAGCACCCCCACACACACUCUGCCCCCAAGAGAAUAAAGAACCUCCCCUCUUAUCUGGGUUCAGAACUGGACAGCAACCCCAGUGUGGGCACUUCAUAAAUAUUCAAUGAUGAAGAUGUGGAGAGUGCAAAGGAACCAUUUUGUCAUUUUAAGAACCCUUCUGAAAUGCCGGUGAUGGAAUCAGGAUCUGAACUAUCCUUUGCAAAUCUUGAACAUUUCAGAAAAGCCCAAUUCAGCUGGUCAUGAGGGAUGAAACCAAACAGGGACUGGAUUAAAGUCUCCAGGAGUUUGGGGUUGUGACUGUCCUUACAAAGAGCAGAGCAAACUGAAGCAGUGGGUGGGAUUUUUUUAAACCACCACUCCCCAAACCUCCAAGCCACUGGGAUUCAGUGAGUCCCCUUUGUGGAAAAGUUCUGCCUUGCUCCCCUGUACCCUGGCUGCGCAGGCUAUGCCUGUGAACACACAGUUAACGUCGGAGCAGGGUGCGGCAGUCCCUGGGCCAUCUUCCACCAUCCCCAGCCUGCUGUGUCAACUGAGCUGAGGGACAUUCGGAGAGAACGUGGUGAAACCAACACAUUGGUAUGUUGCCCUGUCAAGGUCUGCUUGUUUUGGCCCCGGUACACAUGGCCUUGGCCCGUGUCAUCUUGAUAAACAGAGAUGAAUGCACCUCAGUAACCAUCGCCCAGACUGCUUGGGUCGGUGAGGCUGUAUUCUGGUGGAAUUGUGCCCGCGGGGCUUGGAGAUCUUCCACAGAGAGCUGGCUCUCUCUGCCCCCACAGAGACCCCUUUCUGGUGCUAAGAAACGCUCUCCGUUUGCCAGUGGUUGACUCAAGCCAGAGCAGGGCGGGGGCAGCCACUGCUUGGGUGUGGGCCUGGCUAACUUAGAAUACAGAACAGCCCUAUUUCCUCUCACCAGGCCCCCCAAGCUCCACCCACCACACACAUGGCCACCCCUAGGAGCAACCUCUAAUCCUCCAGGCACUAGAGCUGGGGUGGCAGAGGAGGGGGGGGUCGCUCCUCCUCCCUGAUGGCUUCCCAGUUGCUUGGGCUCCUGGGAAGCUCUGCGGCCGACACCAUGAUGUAAAGGACAGUAGGCGUCAAAGCCCCCCCUCACAGUCCCUCACAAACUUGCAGCCAGUGGAGUGGUGGUCAGGCCCCAGGAAAACCAUGGCAUUUGCCACAGCCUUAGCCUGUGUGUGUGCGUGUGCACACACACUUCUAUUUCUAGCGCUCCCCUUUCCUCACUCCUGCCAUGCACCUUGGCAAAACCUGUCCUGUCAUUCAUCUCUCAGAGACCAACCAAGCACCCACAUGCGCAAGACAAACCUUUGCAGAGAGAGGCAGACGGUGGCUCCCUCCUCCCAAAUCCAAGAGCCCAGGGAAGGAAAAUAGUAUUAACUGAGUUCGUGUUUCGUGUCAGAAACUUUAGAUGUAGGACUUCUCUCAGUCUGGCCUCUCACCUGAGAGUAAGGCCUCGUUAUUGCCAUAAGAAGCAAGAGCAGGGACGCUGCCACCUGACUGCCUGAGUUCCAAGUCCAGCUUUGCUCCUGUGACCGUGGCUAGGUGACCUCACCCACAUGCCUGCUUCAUGGGGAAAAUGGGACUCAGGCUAUUGUGAGCUCGGAAUGACAACGUACAUAAAAAGUGCCUAGAGCAGCAGUGUCAUGUCAUCACAUUCUAUUAGCUUUAUACGUUAAAGAAGAGGAGACAGAGGCCACAGAUCGGGUGUUAAAGUGUGGUUCCUGGUGGGCUCCAUGCUAAUGCUCUCCCCAGUGUUCUUUUAAACAUUGUGACGUGUCAUUCCCCACCCCUCCCUCACCCCCAGGGAUGGUUACAGUGGGCCUUGAAAGUGAGUUUUGGACUAGUGUAUGGGAGAGAGUUUGGAGGACCAGAGCCAUCUGAGUCUUGUUUGGGCCCUGAAAUUGUAUCCCUUGAGCUGGGUGCUGCCCGCUGUCGGCGGUGGGCUCUUUCCCCACCUGGGGGCAGGAAGGCCUUGCUGUUAUGGGGAUGGCUGGCGGCUGGCUCCCACCCCUCCUCUACUCAGAGGCUGGCAGAGACUGCAGGAUUCUGACUCGAACCUCCUCACCCCCAUCCCCAUGCUAAAACCUGAGUUUUCCCUGAAAAUAUGGCAGAAGUUGAAAUUUACACCCAAGCCCACCUGGCUCCAAAGCCCAUUCACUCCAUUCUUAUCUUGGUCAGCUGCUAGACAUCUGUGGCAGACAGACAGAUGAGUCCACAGGGACUGACACAGUCAGGACUUGACCUUCGUGUGCCCGUGGAGGAAGGGAAUGGGAGACUGGGACAAAGGCCAGUGCCUGGGCAGGCACCUGUACGCAUAACCUCCGAUCACUCAACUUAGAAAUCCGACUGAUGGGGAGAUCAUCCGCUCUUACCUAGAGUGCUACAAGGGACUCCCCUCAGUCUCAAGGAGAGACGUAUCCAGGGUGUCUUGGGUCAGGCAAACUAUGGUUUCAAGGGUUUCUGGAGCUUAUAUCAUGCCCUGAGUCAAUACUCUCCCAACUAGCUUUGUGAUCUUGGCUAAAUCUCUCAGCCUCUCUGAACUUCAGUUUACUAAUAUGUAAAGCUGAGCAACUAAAGCUGGGCAAAUAAUCCCUACUUAACAAGGGUUUCCAAUGGCCAAGGGCUGCACCUCAGAGAUGCUUAUGGAAUGUGAGUUUUCCUAGAUUGUAAGAAGGCACAUAUGAUCCCACUUGAUUCCACCCCAGAGAUGAAAGCUCUGGAAGAAAGUUUUCUGCACACUCACUCGGAUGUUUGCACCUCCUGUGGGUAAAGAUGCAGUCUUCACGUCACUUCACUGCACUGCGGGUAUCAGAAGCCCUUCUCAGCAAACCCAGCACCUGUGACGGGUCAUCAACUGCCUUCCUGGGUCUCCUAGGCCUCUGUGACAUGGCUGCCCCCCGUCCCACCACCGUCAAACCCUCCAUGCUUUUCAGUGUUGUGCACAUUGGUUUCCUCAAAGCAAGACAAGACAUGGUACCAAACUGACAACAUUCUUCUCAAUUCUGCCCAUCAUCUGGGCCCCGCUUAGGGGAAGGGAGAGGGUACGUGGAGCUGGAGGGGGGCCUGGAAGGAAGCCUCCAGAAGCCCAGGGACCUUUCAUCCCAGAUCCAAUGCCAGGAAGCUGAGUCUCAAGGGAAGCUUCUCAGAGGCCUGGGAAGGCCUGAGAGAGGGUGUGAAGAACUAUUAGGAAUGUGCAAGGCUCUUCAGGAAUCUCUGUCACAUGAAAAGGAGAAAGGAAAGCAGUUAACCAGGUCAAAGGGCAGGAGUUUUCAGUUGAUUAUUCAUCAUGAUUAGAGGAUGACUGUUGACUAGAUUACUAAUUUCACAGGUAUGGAGGGAAAAGCAUUGUGGACUUUUUCUGCAGCAUUUUCCUCCCAACCUUGUAGAGGGGUGUGUGUCAUUCAACUCCCAGCACUCAAAGCAGUGAGGAGAGUGAGAAUCUGAAGCCCCAAUCCCUGGGUUCAAGCUAGGGUUUCCCUUUCACAAGCCUGUGACCUCUUAGACUCCAAAUUCCUUGUCUGAAAACAGGGCCAGUUGCUCCCUGGGGGAUGAGGUAUGCAGCCUCUGAGGACACUUCUCAUAAAGAGGGAAGCCAGAGGUUAUUGGUCACUUGUUAUCAUUAGUGUGCAGGAGCCCCGGAGUUCCUGCUAUGGUGCAAUGGGAUUGGCAGUGUCUCUGCAGCACUGGGACCCAGGUUCAAUCCCUGGCCUGGCGCAGUGGGUUCAAUAUCCCAGGUAGGUUGCAGCUGUGACUAGGAUCUGAUCCUGGGCCCAGCACCUCCAUAUGCCACAGGGAGGCCAAAAAAGAAAAAGAAAAAAAAAAAAAAUUUCAGGAGCCAUAAUGUCUCUCCAGGUCAACUAGUCCUGUCUCAAUAUUAGCAAAGAGAAAAGGAACUAUUUCUCAUGGUGUUUUGUACUCUUUGGGGAUUUUAAAAGUUUUUUUAAAGGCUGAAGAAAAGCAGCCAUAUUGCUUUGGUUUCUCCAUCUGUUCCUCCAUCUUAUCUCCAUCAUCUCGGGGCAAGUACCAGCCUUUUUGGUAAGGCCUUGACAAGAGGCCACCAGCAGGCCCCAGGCAGGCCUCCCCGCAGGCUUGGAGGAGCAGCCAGCAGCCGGCUAGUGGCCUGAGGAAGGGGGAGCUGGGGCAUGCCUUCCUCCUUGGGUCCAGGGCUGUGUUGGGCACUUUUGCCUUCAUGGGUGACUUCCUCCAUUAAUAAAUAUUUUUAAAUAUAUUUUAUGAAUGCA